ensembl:lncRNA
CAUAUCAUUGGGGGUUGGAACGUUCUGUCCUACCUCAUGCUGCCCCCUCCCCAGACAUCAGGGAGCAGAGACAGGCUAGAGACUGAACCAAUCACCAGUGGGUAAUGACUGAAUUAAUCAUGCCUGUGUGGGAGUUCCCAUUGUGGCUCAGCUGUAAUGAACCCGAUAGGUAUCCAUGAAAACAAGGGUUCAAUCUUUGGCCUCGCUCGGGGGAGGGGGGGUUAAGGACGCAGUGUUGCUGUGAGCUGUGGUGUAGGUCACAGACACAGCUCGGAUCCCGCCAUAGGCCAGCAGCUGCAGCUCCGAUUCAACCCCUAGCCUGGGAACUUCCACAUGCUACAGGUGUGGUGCUAAAAAUCAUGACUGUCUAAUGAAGCCUCCAUAAAACCCCAAAAAGACAGGUUCAGAGAGCUUCCAGUUUGUGGACACGUAGAGAUUUAGGGGGAGUGGGACAUCUUUCCCCACACCUUGCCCCAUACAUCAUAACAUCUGGCGUUCCUGAGUUCUUUCCUUUUAUAAUAAACAUCGUCUAGUACGUAACAUGUUUCUCUUGGUUCUGUGAGCUGCUCCAGCUAAUUAGUAAAACCCAGGGAGGAGUCCUUGGAACCUAUGCUCUAUAGCAGAUCGGUCAGAAGCACAGGUGACACCCUGGACUUGAGAUUGGCGUCUGAAGUGUGUCUAGGGGAGGGGGAGAGCAGUCCCGUGGGACUGAGCCCCUAACCUAUGGGAUCAGAUGCUGUCGCCAGGUGGAGAGAGUCGGAAUUGAGUUGAAUCGUAAGACACCCUAGCAGGUGUCAUAGAACUGCAUGGCGGUCUGGAAAACCCCCUUCAUUCCUUGAAAUAGGCAAUCAGGACCCUUUUCCCUUCCAAAUAAAUGUAUUUUAUCUGUGGCUCUACAUGUAUAUCCAUUUUCUCUCCUGUUCUCCUUUCCUAUGAGCCAAAAAUGUUGUCCACAAUUACGCUGGAUGGAAACAUUCUGCAAAUUCCUCACUAAUCGCACGCCCACGUGGGAAACAUCAAGAUCUGUAAGCAUGUCUGUGUUUAAAAUAAUAGCAACCCCCUAUCCCAAAAUGCAACCAGUAUGGAUAUUCCAGAAACUACUUUAAGACUGUUCUGCCCUGACGAAGUUAAAUUGUAUCUAAAGGAGUAAACUUUCCAACAUCCUUUGGAAGUUAUGUGAUUUCGAAUCAUCAAGUCAUACAGGUUCCUGAUAACCAUUCUAACAGAAUAUCUACCGGGAGUCAGGUGGAUGAACCCCAUGGCUCCUGAGACCCCCUACCUCCUCCAUGUCCCUUGGGCCCUAUGGAGUGUAUAUUAGGGGACCUGGGAGCACCCCCGUCUCACUGUCCUAAGUACAUCUGGAUUUCGGUAGCUUAGUCUCCGUUUGAGACAGAAGUGGGUCCUCUGAGAUGACGAGAGAACCUGAAAUGGGCAGGUGUCUCCCUUCGCUGCAGACUCAUACGUCAACCACUUAUUGUGUUACGUUUUGUCAAAAAUUAAUAAUAAGGAUAGUGAUGAGUAAUGAGAACUAAUGACCAAAAAAAAAGAAGUAGGGUAAAGCGGUGAAAGGAAGUGUAAGUGUACUCACAUCCUGAUCUUUAGGGGAGAAAAUCAGCAGGUGCUUUUAAAAGUUGAAAACCAGAACGUGGGAGUUAUAAAUACACCAUUUAAAGGACAAAUGUGUAAGUGACAAUUACAGGGGAUUACUGAUUAUGGAUUAUACUGAUUACAGCCAGCAAGAGCAGGACAUUCCCCAGAAAGUCCCAAACCAUCCAUCAUUUUCUCCCCAGUAGUUAUCACAGUGUCCCUCCCAUAGCAGACACUCGGGAAAUACCUGUUGAAUGAAGAAGUGAGUGGCUGGGUGAGUCAGUGGAUGGAUGAAUAAUUGAUAACAGAAACACCCUGUACGUAGUACCUACCCUGAGGCAGGUGCCCCCCACCAAGGCCAGGGGGCUCUUGCUGCAGAGCCAGGCUCCAGCUCAUGGUUCAGCUGGCUCUCUCUGGAGCUGGUUGAGUUUGUUUAAUCAUAUUAUACAGUGUGCGUGUUUUACAUGAUCAUUAUAUGUCACCCUAAGUGAACAUGUCACCCAGCCUAAUGGCUUCUGCAGGAACAGUUUAUUGGGGUUGGCAUUUUCCUUUUUAGAUGCCUGUUCCAAGGAGGGCAGCGACAAUGGGCCCAGGACCCUCGGUGCCACUUGCCUCUCUAGUGCCGUUUGGUGCUAAAUGAAAUAUGACAAGAGAGUGGCUUCCAGUAAUUGCAAUAAUUGACUGUAGAGGGUCCAUGAUUAUGUCAUUAGCUCCUCUCUGGGUAACCCAGCAUGAUUGUGGCCAUGGCUCCCUGUUUCAAGACCAUCACAAUUGCAGGACGGAACCGCCAGGAUGGUGUGUCCUUGCCCUGCUCCCCACCAUACCCCAGGUUUUCUAAAAGAUAAGGCCUGUAGUCAUAACAACUACAUCCUAGUUCCAGCCUGGCCAUUUGUUACUAUGUGACCAUGAAAACCUCUGUAACUCAGGUAUCACUGAUCAGCACUCAAGAUCAAGGUGCUGGAGGAGUUGGGAAUAAUUCCUUCCCUGCUGUGAUGGUUAAUUUUACAUGUCCACUUGACUGCGUUACUGGGCGCCCAGAUGAAGCAUUGUUUCUGGGUGUUUCCAGAUGCAAUUAGCCCUUGAAUAAGUGCUCUCAGGAAGGCAGAUGGCCCUGCCCAGUGGGCAUGGGCAUCCUCUAAUUCGUUGGGGGCCUGAAUAGAACAAAAGGUGGGGGAAGGAGAGAUUUGUCCUCUUUUUCUUGGCUCACUGCUUGAGUUGGGACAUCCAUCUCAUCUUCUGCCCUCAGACUAGGAUUUACAUCCUCCGCUCCCCUGGUUCCCAGGCUUUUGGAUUCAGACUGAGUUAAACCACUGGCUUCCCUGAGUCACCAGCUCACAGCUCUCAGAUCAUGGGACUUCCUGGCUCCCAUAAGUGCAAGAGCCAAUUGCUCAUAAUUUGUAUAUAUCCAUCCCCUGUAGGUUCCAUUUCUCUGGAGUGCCCUGACUAAUACAUCUAUCUACCACGUAUGGUGGUUGUGGUUGAGAAGGUCCAGGUAGGCAGUGGUGUGUAUUACUAACAUCAUAGCAUGUGUAUUAUAUACUAUGCUCGCCUUCCAUCCAUUCAGAGAACGGGAAGGAUAACCCAGUGUUUCUAAUGAGUCUCUUGGGGGCAUUACCCAGCUACUAGUUUUUUGGACAAUUAUGAGAAACUGACAUAAAGGAAUCUGAUCAGCAGAUGAUAAACUGGCCUUUAGAAUACCUUUUAUUUCCUAGACAAAGCCGAUGCUAGCGACCUUGUCCAUAUCACAGUCAUCCUUCCUCUCAAACACGCAGACACUCCUGGAGUUCCCGUCAUGGUGCAGCAGAAACGAAUCUGACUAGGAACCAUGAGGUUGUGGGUUUGAUCCCUGGCCUCGCUGAGUGGGUUAAGGAUCCGGUGUUGCCGUGAGCUGUGACGUAGGUCGCAGACGAGGCUCGGAUCUGGCAUUGCUCUGGCUGUGGUGUAGGUCAGUGGCUACAGCUCCGAUUAGACCCCUAGCCUGGGAACCUCUAUAUGCCAUGGGUGCGGCCCUAAAAAGCCAAAAAAAAAAGCACAGACACUCCAAGAAUAUCAGUUCAGAGAGGAUGAGGGCAAUCAGUGAACCAGAGAUAGCAAGUAUGCAUUAGUCAUGCGUUCUCAUGCAUUUUCGUCCUGAGUCUUUGGCAAGAAUUGCAAUAAAUUAUUGUCCUCUUGUCCCACGGAGCUUUGAAAUCAGCCGUUCAAGUAGGAUGACCUGGGUGAUCAUGUUACUUAGCUACCCUAGAACUCACGCUUUUCUUCUUUGACAUGGGAGUGGAAGGAGGGUCAUGAUAGAAUCUGCUACACAGGGUGGCUGGGAAACAGGAGGAAGUAAUACAAAGUGCUUAGCACAAGAAACUAAAGCAUCAGAAAUAGGACUGCAAACCAGUUCUGUCCGGGUCCCAACCCUUAGAUGUUCUGUGCCGCUGUAGUGUAUAAACAGAAUGGGGACUAAGAAGCCAGGGGACAAGAGGGGAGAGGAACCAAGAGGGUGUCCUUCUUUUUGUGAACAGGACAGUGAUGAGUCAAAAGCGUUUGGCCGGACUUAGGACAGAGGCCAGCACCCCCGGGCCCCGCGCACUGUGUGAAGAUGUGGGGAUGUUGAGAUGUGUGGUAUGUGUAAUGCAGUCAAGGACAGAUCCAUUCAUUCCCCAUAAAUACCUCAGCAGGCUGUGUAUGUUUCCUUAGAAAAAUACAGCAACGAGUAAAUAGAUAUCGUUAUUUGUACCACGUGACCACGGGAUGGGGUUAUUGACUACAUUCAUCCACACGUCAGAGAAGAUGGUCAUUAUGCCAGCUUGCAAGUGGACUCAGUGCACCUCUUUUGAGGCUACAGAUGAUAGUUGAACGGGAGCUUCUCCUAGACAUGCUGAGAUCCCUUGGUCAGCAUUUCUGUGACCCCAGAGGUACCAUCACAAAGUUUUAUUUUAAAAAACCCCCAGAAUUUAUGUUUUCUUCUGCUUACCUAGGGGGUGCUGGCCUCUGUCCUAAGUCCGGAACCUUUCAGUUCCUAACUUGUUAGAGCCUGGCAACCAAAAGGGGAGGCUCGAGAGCCAAGAGGGCAUCUGGAUUUGAACCUGGCCAGUUCUUUUACUCUUGGUCUAAUCCUGGACAAGAGUCAACUUCUCUGAUCCUCAGUUUCCUCAUCUGAAAAAUUGAUGAUCUUCCCUGCUUCACUAUGGUUUUGAGAAUAAAAUGAGUUCAAGUAUUUUUUUUUUAAGUACCUAGGACAACACAGGAGGGGCUCCGUGAAUAAUCCUUCCGCUUCUUUGUCUCUGUCCGUUAACCAUAAAUACAAAAUGGAACAUGUUGGGAAAAAUUUCUCAAAGUCAGUGUUUCACAAACUGUAACCUGCAGAAUAA